UUGGAUUCAGAUCCUGCCGGCUCGCACAUUAGGCAGCCCCGCUGCAGAUGGUGCCGGUCGCCCGCGGCGAUUAAUUUCGUUUGCGGUGUCGUUUCUGGCGUCCACUCGGCGGCGUGCUGACCACCGCAGCGGAGGUUCGCACGUCUCCCCUAGUAGAAACGUCGCGACCCGUUGGGUGCCGGCCGAAGGCCUGUGAAGGAAGCCCGCGUGUCCCGUGGCGGUCGCCACGGGCGUGCGGACUCACGGUGACCCGGCAGGCUGCCCGACGGUAUGACCAGAGGAGCCGAUCCGCUGAAUGGGAAACACUGUGGUUUGUGAAGCGUGCGGCCUGGCGCCGAUGCGUGCGGGGAUUGAGGUGUAAACCGGGGGUGCCCGUGCGAAGCACGGUCCCGGCCCUGCUGCGUCGUUGGUUGCCGGUGUCCUCGCACAGGAUCGAUACUCCCGUCUGCGACGCCCAUCUUCGGAUGGUCUCCCG
rnacentral:rRNA from 1 species